UUCUCACCAAACACAUCUUACGCGAUAUCACCAAACACCAUCUUCUCCAAAUCGAUCGAACCCAGCUGCAACCCCAAAUCGACUCUCCGCCGUCUCCUCCAAGCACCGCCGUCUCCCUCUCUCACUCUCAGCCGUCCUCUCUCUCUCACUCUCAUCCGUCCUCUCUCUCACUCGUAAUCUCCAACCCUAGCUCUAAAUCAAACCUUCUCUCACUCGUAAGGGAAACGCAACAUCGCAAACCGUCAACUCAUCCUUCAACCGUGACGAUCCCGAUAUCAAUUGGCGAUUCUCCCUAAAUCUCAAACCCUAGUAUGGAUUCGUCCCCAAAUCCUUAACCCAGUGUCAAUUCAUCCCCAAAUUCCAGACAUCAGUUCGCGCAAAAUCUCUUGAAGAAUUGGUACCACCAUCGAAGGUUCAUUCUUCCACUUCAACCGAUUUCGUCGAUGCCGAUUCGCCGAUUCUUCGUUCGUCAAAGUCUAUCCUCUGCUAUUUAGUUUGGAAGUGAUGUUGGUGAAGCCUUGGAACCACAACGAAAGCUUCAGUUUGGAGUGUUUGAAUGUGACAUGCUAAAGUGUGAGGGAGUUAUAGAAGAGUUUCUUUUAGAAGUAUAUUUUGGAAUGAAAGUGAGUUGGAGAUGAUUGGUCAAAGUUCAGAUUAUCAGAAAACUAUUUACCAAAAGUCUCAAAUGCAAAAGGACUUUUUGGCCAUCAGGCCUAAUUAUUCAAGAAGUGGUGUUCAUGAUUUUACUAUGGCUUCAAGAAAAGCUGAAGAAACAAUGUGGUUAGUUGUAUCAGUUGAGGAUGCGUACAAUUUCAUGAUGAAUUGGCUUACAAAGGCUCCCACAGUUUAUGGGAUUUUUCAUAGCAAGAGAAAGCUAUGUUGGUAAGGGUAAGUGUUUAAUUUGAAUUCGGUUAGUAUGUUUUUUAGAAUUGUUUAUGCUCUGCGUAGUAUUUAAACUUCAGAUUGAAGGAGUACCGAUAUGUGUCGGCGAUACAACACCUACACCGUUAAUGGUUAUAUUGAAUCACUUUUAUUUUCUUUUAUAAUGCUUUGUUUUAUAUGCUAGCUUGUUUUAGGACAUUGAUGCAGAAGACUUUGGAUACUCUAGGUUAUAGACUUUGGAUACUCUAGGAUAUAGAUUGAUGCAGGUAAUUUCGAUUUCUGCUUUCCCAUGGAUUGUUCUUCGAGUGUGCCUGUUUUCAGAUGUUAUUACUUGCUUGCUAUGUUCUAAGGAGCUGUAUGAUUUGCGAGACCGCUGGGCAACUUGUUUUCUUGACCUAUAUAAUCCUGAGGUAGAUUAUGAUGAUGCCGAUGAGAAAUAUUAGGAGCUAGCUAGCUAGGUUUGUGUGAAGUUACAAUGGAUUAGUAUUAAUUAUGAUGAUGUUUUGAU